GACGAACGCUGGCGGCGUGCUUAACACAUGCAAGUCGAGCGGUAAGGCCCUUUCGGGGGUACACGAGCGGCGAACGGGUGAGUAACACGUGGGUGACCUGCCCUCAGCUCUGGGAUAAGCCUGGGAAACCGGGUCUAAUACCGGAUAUGACUCCAUGACGCAUGUUGUGGGGUGGAAAGCCUUGUGCGGCUGAGGAUGGGCCCGCGGCCUAUCAGCUUGUUGGUGGGGUGAUGGCCUACCAAGGCGACGACGGGUAGCCGGCCUGAGAGGGCGACCGGCCACACUGGGACUGAGACACGGCCCAGACUCCUACGGGAGGCAGCAGUGGGGAAUCUUGCGCAAUGGGCGAAAGCCUGACGCAGCGACGCCGCGUGGGGAUGAAGGUCUUUCGGAUUGUAAAUCCCUUUCGGGAGGGAAGAUGGAAUGGGGUAACCCAUUCGGACGGUACCUCCAGAAGCAGCCACGGCUAACUUCGUGCCAGCCGCCGCAGUAAU
rnacentral:rRNA from 1 species